UGGGAUUCUUGUCAGCUAGAUUAUAGGCAGAACAAGCUCAUGUCUCUUUAUAGAACAAGCUAUGAAAAGAUUAUCAAAGAGCAGCUGAGGAAAGACUUGGGAAUUCAUGUGGAAGAAACUGAUGUUCCUUUGAAACUUCUUCAAAUUACUUAAUCUAGAUCUCUAAUCUAGAAGUUGGCUUGAUUACUUUAACGAAAACUAGAUAGAACAGGAACAUGCAGAAAUAAAAAUUGGUUAAAAAAAAGUUCUGUUUAAAA
rnacentral:lncRNA from 1 species